GUGGGGGAGGUGAGUUACUGGGAGGAGGUGGCGGUGAAUUUCGUGGAGGUUUAGAUGCUGGAGGUGGAGGCGAAUUCUGCGGUGGCUUUGAUGACGGUGGGGGAGGAGAAUUCUGCGGUGGCUUUGAUGCUGGUGGGGGAGGUGAAUUCCUAGGUGGCUGGCUAGAUGGUGGUGGUGGUGAACUCCCAGGUGGUUUUGAAGCUGGAGGAGGUGGUGGAGGGGAACUUGUAGGAGGAUUGGCGGAUGGUGGAGGAGGUGAACUGGUUGGAGGAUUACUUGACGGAGGUGGUGGUGAACUCUGUGGUGGUAUGGAUACUGGAGGAGGUGGUGAACUAGACUGUGGAGGGGGUGUAGUAGCUUGUGGAGGUGGUGGUGAACUCUGUGGUGGUACGGAUGCUGGAGGAGGGGGUGAACUAGACUGUGGAGGGGGUGAAGUAGCUUGUGGAGGUGGGGAUGCAGACGAUGGAGGUGGUGAUGAGGUUGCAGGUGGAUUUGAUGACGGUGGAGGAGGACUAGAGGCUGGAGGCGGAGCUGUAGAUUGGGGAGGUGUAGAUGAUGAAGUAGGAGGUGGGGAAGCCAUAGGAGGUUGCUGUGUCGGAGAAGGUG
rnacentral:lncRNA from 1 species